GUGCCAGCCGCCGCGGUAAUACCAGCUCCGCGAGUGGUCGGGGUGCUUACUGGGCCUAAAGCGCCCGUAGCCGGCCCGGUAAGUCGUCCCUGAAAUCCACGGGCUCAACCCGUGGGCUGGGGACGAUACUGCCGGGCUUGGGGGCGGGAGAGGCCGAGGGUACUCCCGGGGUAGGGGCGAAAUCCGUAGAUCCCGGGAGGACCACCAGUGGCGAAGGCGCCCCGCUAGAACGCGCCCGACGGUGAGAGGCGAAAGCCGGGGCAGCAAAAGGGAUUAGAUACCCCUGUAGUCCCGGCUGUAAACGAUGCCGGCUAGGUGUCGCGUGGGCUUAGAGCCCACGCGGUGCCGCAGGGAAGCCGUUAAGCCGGCCGCCUGGGGAGUACGGCCGCAAGGCUGAAACUUAAAGGAAUAGGCGGGGGAGCACCACAAGGGGUGGAACCUGCGGCUCAAUUGGAGUCAACACCUGGAAGCUUACCGGGGGAGACCGCAGGAUGACGGCCAGGCUAACGACCUUGCCUGACUCGCGGAGAGGAGGUGCAUGGCCGUCGCCAGUUCGUGUUGUGAAAUGUCCGGUUAAGUCCGGCAACGAGCGAGACCCCCACCCCUAGUUGGUACCCUGGCCUCCGGGCCAGGGCCACACUAGGGGGACUGCCGCCGUAAGGCGGAGGAAGGAGGGGGCCACGGCAGGUCAGCAUGCCCCGAAACCCCCGGGCCGCACGCGGGUUACAAUGGCAGGGACAGCGGGAUCCUGCCCCGAGAGGGGUGGGCAAUCCCUAAACCCUGCCUCAGUUGGGAUCGAGGGCUGCAACUCGCCCUCGUGAACGAGGAAUCCCUAGUAACCGCAGGUCACCAACCUGCGGUGAAUACGUCCCUGCUCCUUGCACACACCGCCCGUC
rnacentral:rRNA from 1 species